GAUGAAGAACGCAGUGAAAUGCGAUACGUAAUGUGAAUUGCAGAAUUCAGUGAAUCAUCGAAUCUUUGAACGCAUAUUGCGCUCUCUGGUAUUCCGGAGAGCAUGCUUGUUUGAGUAUCAGUAAACACCUCAACUUCCAUAUCUUUUUUGAAAUGGGAGUUGGACUUGAGUGAUCCCAACGCUUUUCCUCACCGAAAAGUGGCGGGUUACUUGAAAUGCAGGUGCAGCUGGACUUUUCUCUGAGCUAUAAGCAUAUCUAUUUAGUCUGCCUAAAAAACAGAUUAUUACCUUUGCUGCAGCUAACAUAAAGGAGAUUAGUUCUUGUGCUGACUGAUGCAGGAUUCACAAAGACAGCUUCGGCCGACUUUGUAAACUCGAUCUCAAAUCAAGUAAGACUACCCGCUGAACUUAAGCAUAUCAAUAAGCGGAGGA
rnacentral:misc_RNA from 1 species